ensembl:snRNA U6 U6 spliceosomal RNA
GUGCUCACUUCAGCAGCACAUACACUAAGACUAGAACAAUACAGAGAAGAUCAGCAUUGCCCCGUCAUGACAGGCAAAUUCAUGAGGCGUUCCAUACUUUU